UACAGAGGUCUCAAGCGUUGUUCGGAUUCAUUGGGCGUAAAGGGCGCGUAGGCGGCGCCACAAGUCACUUGUGAAAACUCUGGGCUCAACUCAGAGCCUGCAAGCGAAACUGUGGUGCUGGAGUAUGGGAGAGGUGCGUGGAAUUCCCGGUGUAGCGGUGAAAUGCGUAGAUAUCGGGAAGAACACCCGUGGCGAAGGCGGCUCUCUGGGACGGUACUGACGCUGAGACGCGAAAGCGUGGGGAGCGAACAGG
rnacentral:rRNA from 1 species